GAGGGUGUAGCUCAGUGGUAGAGUGCAUGCCUAGCAUGCAUGAGGUCUUGGGUUCAAUCCCAAGUACCUCCA
rnacentral:tRNA from 1 species